UAGCAGGAAAAGUAUGUUAAGAAUAUGCAAUGCUGAUGAGCUCAGAACCACAAUGUUUUUUCACACAGGUCCAGCGUCAGGACAUACUCAGGACAUCUCCCAGAAGCUCCAAAACAAAUUGCCUUUGGACUUUGAGACCAUGAAACCAGAGGAACCAAAUACAGUCCCUCACAGCUGA
rnacentral:lncRNA from 1 species